rnacentral:misc_RNA from 1 species
AGCUGCAGAAAGUAAGCUAUCAUAGCAAUCUCUCAUGUCCUUCAUGUCCUGAGAAGCCUGAGCAAGUUCAUCAAAGGGAGCCAAAGGGCGAAGAUCUCUUCGGUCCUUGUGAUCAACAUGGCGAAGACCGAACCCUCGCAAUUUCCUGAGAGAGGUCUUCAUUUGGUUUCCUUUCCUUUCUGAGAGAAGAAAUGAGCAGAAAGAAACUAUGAAGAAGAAGAAGAAGAAGAAGAAGAAGAAGAAAAAAUGAUGGAGAAGCUGAAAUUGGAAGGAACUACUAUAAAUCAAUCAAAUGCCAAUAUCUUCC